CAGUCGCCGCGGUAAUACGUAGGUGGCAAGCGUUGUCCGGAAUUAUUGGGCGUAAAGGGCUCGCAGGCGGUUUCUUAAGUCUGAUGUGAAAGCCCCCGGCACAACCGGGGAGGGUCAUUGGAAACUGGGAAACUUGAGUGCAGAAGAGGAGAGCGGAAUUCCACGUGUAGCGGUGAAAUGCGUAGAGAUGUGGAGGAACACCAGUGGCGAAGGCGACUCUCUGGUCUGUAACUGACGCUGAGGAGCGAAAGCGUGGGGAGCGAACAGGAUUAGAUACCCCAGUAGUCCCUGUCUCUUAUAC
rnacentral:rRNA from 1 species